GACAGAGGGUGCAAACGUUGUUCGGAAUUACUGGGCAUAAAGCGCGUGUAGGCUGUCUCGAAAGUCGGAUGUGAAAGCCCUGGGCUCAACCUAGGAAGUGCAUUCGAAACUUCGAGACUCGAGUCCUGGAGAGGAUCGCGGAAUUCUCGGUGUAGAGGUGAAAUUCGUAGAUAUCGAGAGGAACACCGGUGGCGAAGGCGGCGAUCUGGACAGUGACUGACGCUGAGACGCGAAAGCGUGGGGAGCAAACAGGG
rnacentral:rRNA from 1 species